UGCCAUAACUAAGAGGUCUUUUUUAUAGAAACCACUGUGUUUUUACGUAAAAAUUCAUAUUCAAUGGUGCACUGGUCACUUUCCAUAAUCUUCGGCUGAUUCUGUAUUGAUGAUCUACUCCUUAACAGGUAGGGGAUAAAUUAUAUAUAUAUCUGGAGUAUGUAUCUGGUGGUUCCAUCCAUAAGAUUCUACAGGACUAUGGAAAAUUAGGAGAAUCAGCCAUCCGCAGUUACACUCAGCAAAUUUUGUCAGGGCUUGCAUAUUUACAUGCUAAAAACACUGUGCACAGGGACAUAAAAGGAGCCAAUAUACUCGUGGACCCAAAUGGCCGUGUUAAGCUGGCAGAUUUUGGGAUGGCGAAGCAUAUUACCGGGCAUUCUUGUCCCUUAUCGUUCAAGGGUAGUCCUUACUGGAUGGCGCCCGAGGUUAUUAGGAAUUCAAA